UGUAUGGUUAAGUGACUAAGCGUACACGGUGGAUGCCUGGGCAGUCAGAGGCGAUGAAGGACGUACUAACUUGCGAUAAGCGCAGAUAAGGCAGUAAGAGCCGUUUGAGUCUGCGAUUUCCGAAUGGGGAAACCCAACUGCAUAAGCAGUUACUGUUAACUGAAUACAUAGGUUAACAGAGCAAACCGGGGGAACUGAAACAUCUAAGUACCCCGAGGAGAAGAAAUCAACCGAGAUUCCGGUAGUAGCGGCGAGCGAACCUGGAUUAGCCCUUAAGCACUCGGUGAAGUAGGUGAACAAGCUGGAAAGCUUGGCGAUACAGGGUGAUAGCCCCGUAACCGACGCUUCAUCGAGCGUGAAAUCGAGUAGGGCGGGACACGUGAUAUCCUGUCUGAAUAUGGGGGGACCAUCCUCCAAGGCUAAAUACUCCUGACUGACCGAUAGUGAACCAGUACCGUGAGGGAAAGGCGAAAAGAACCCCUGUGAGGGGAGUGAAAUAGAACCUGAAACCGUGUACGUACAAGCAGUAGGAGCACCUUCGUGGUGUGACUGCGUACCUUUUGUAUAAUGGGUCAGCGACUUAUAUUCAGUGGCAAGGUUAACCGUAUAGGGGAGCCGUAGCGAAAGCGAGUCUUAACUGGGCGCUCAGUCUCUGGAUAUAGACCCGAAACCGGGUGAUCUAGCCAUGGGCAGGUUGAAGGUUGAGUAACAUCAACUGGAGGACCGAACCGACUAAUGUUGAAAAAUUAGCGGAUGACUUGUGGCUAGGGGUGAAAGGCCAAUCAAACUCGGAGAUAGCUGGUUCUCCCCGAAAGCUAUUUAGGUAGCGCCUCGGACGAAUACUACUGGGGGUAGAGCACUGUUAAGGCUAGGGGGUCAUCCCGACUUACCAACCCUUUGCAAACUCCGAAUACCAGUAAGUACUAUCCGGGAGACACACGGCGGGUGCUAACGUCCGUCGUGGAGAGGGAAACAACCCAGACCGCCAGCUAAGGUCCCAAAGUAUUGCUAAGUGGGAAACGAUGUGGGAAGGCUCAGACAGCUAGGAUGUUGGCUUAGAAGCAGCCAUCAUUUAAAGAAAGCGUAAUAGCUCACUAGUCGAGUCGGCCUGCGCGGAAGAUGUAACGGGGCUAAGCAAUACACCGAAGCUGCGGCAAUAUCUUUUAGAUAUUGGGUAGGGGAGCGUUCUGUAAGCCGUUGAAGGUGAAUCGUAAGGUUUGCUGGAGGUAUCAGAAGUGCGAAUGCUGACAUGAGUAACGACAAAGGGGGUGAAAAACCUCCUCGCCGGAAGACCAAGGGUUCCUGUCCAACGUUAAUCGGGGCAGGGUGAGUCGACCCCUAAGGUGAGGCCGAAAGGCGUAAUCGAUGGGAAACGGGUUAAUAUUCCCGUACUUCUGACUAUUGCGAUGGGGGGACGGAGAAGGCUAGGUGGGCCAGGCGACGGUUGUCCUGGUUCAAGUGCGUAGGCUUGAGAGUUAGGUAAAUCCGGCUCUCUCUAAGGCUGAGACACGACGUCGAGCUACUACGGUAGUGAAGUCAUUGAUGCCAUGCUUCCAGGAAAAGCCUCUAAGCUUCAGAUAGUCAGGAAUCGUACCCCAAACCGACACAGGUGGUCGGGUAGAGAAUACCAAGGCGCUUGAGAGAACUCGGGUGAAGGAACUAGGCAAAAUGGUACCGUAACUUCGGGAGAAGGUACGCUCUUGAUGGUGAAGUCCCUCGCGGAUGGAGCUGACGAGAGUCGCAGAUACCAGGUGGCUGCAACUGUUUAUUAAAAACACAGCACUGUGCAAAAUCGCAAGAUGACGUAUACGGUGUGACGCCUGCCCGGUGCCGGAAGGUUAAUUGAUGGGGUUAGCGCAAGCGAAGCUCUUGAUCGAAGCCCCGGUAAACGGCGGCCGUAACUAUAACGGUCCUAAGGUAGCGAAAUUCCUUGUCGGGUAAGUUCCGACCUGCACGAAUGGCGUAAUGAUGGCCACGCUGUCUCCACCCGAGACUCAGUGAAAUUGAAAUCGCUGUGAAGAUGCAGUGUACCCGCGGCUAGACGGAAAGACCCCGUGAACCUUUACUACAGCUUGGCACUGAACAUUGAACCUACAUGUGUAGGAUAGGUGGGAGGCUAUGAAGACGUGACGCCAGUUGCGUUGGAGCCGUCCUUGAAAUACCACCCUUGUAUGU
rnacentral:rRNA from 1 species